rnacentral:rRNA from 1 species
UACAUGGGGUGCAAACGUUGCUCGGAAUUAUUGGGCGUAAAGCGCGCGUAGGCGGCCCUGUAAGUCCGUUGUGAAAGUCGAAGGCUCAACCUUCGAAAGCCGAUGGAUACUGCAGGGCUAGAGUCCGGAAGAGGAGAGUGGAAUUCCUGGUGUAGCGGUGAAAUGCGCAGAUAUCAGGAAGAACACCCGUGGCGAAGGCGGCUCUCUGGGACGGUACUGACGCUGAGGAGCGAAAGCGUGGGGAGCAAACAGG